GGGCCCGCACAAGCGGUGGAGCAUGUGGUUUAAUUCGAUGAUACGCGAGGAACCUUACCAGGGCUUAAAUGUAGUCUGACAGCUUUAGAGAUAGAGUUUUCUUCGGACAGAUUACAAGGUGCUGCAUGGUUGUCGUCAGCUCGUGCCGUGAGGUGUCAGGUUAAGUCCUAUAACGAGCGCAACCCCUGUCGUUAGUUGCCAGCAUGUCAUGAUGGGGACUCUAACGAGACUGCCGGUGCAAACCGCGAGGAAGGUGGGGAUGACGUCAAAUCAUCACGGCCCUUACGUCCUGGCCACACACGUGCUACAAUGGCCGGUACAGAGAGCAGCCACGUCGCAAGGCGGAGCGAA
rnacentral:rRNA from 1 species